rnacentral:lncRNA from 1 species
ACCAUCUUACUCUUAAAAAUGAGCUAUUUCAGUUGACAAAAUACUGGGGCUAGCCAUGACUUUUAGCUCAACUCCUUUCCUUUAUGACAUAGACGUGAGACUAGCUUUCCUCCCUUCAGUAAUGUGAAGCAUUGAGCACACAUAUCACCAGGCAAACCAAAGCCAUUUUCUCUUUUCUGAAGAAAUUGGCAACGUUCCCGAUUGACUUUAGGAAUGAAAUCCAGAAGUUACACUGGCUCAGAGACCACUUUCUUCCUUCAUCUGCAAUUGGAAUCUGUCCUUUGACUCAUGCUUCUGCUCUGAUGGACAGGUCAAUUUUUCGUAUGGACACAGCUGCUCUGUUUCAGGCUUCUGGAUUUCAUACAUUUUUUUCUGAUGACAUUCUAUUCAACUCAUGAAAAGAGAUUCCAGGGAAUAUUAAAUGAAAUGCAACAAACCUUUAAAAAAUUUAACAU